UGGGGCGAGUGAGCGCGAUAAGGGCAUUCGGUGGAUGCCUUGGCACCAGGAGGCGACGAAGGACGUAGCACGCUGCGAAAAGUUGUGGGGAGCCGCGAGCAGGCAUUGAUCCGCAAAUAUCCGAAUGGGGCAACCCACCCAGCGAUGGGUAUCAUCAUCUGAAUACAUAGGGUGAUGAGGCGAACCCGGGGAACUGAAACAUCUCAGUACCUGGAGGAAAAGACAUCAAUUGAGAUUCCGCUAGUAGUGGCGAGCGAACGCGGAGCAGGCCAGUGGUCUUUAGAAGAGAAGCAGAACGAUCUGGAAAGGUCGGCCAUAGUGGGUGAUAGUCCCGUAUGCGUAGUGCUUUUAAAGAUCCCUUGAGUAGGGCGGGGCACCGUGAAACCCUGUCUGAACAUGGGGGACCACCCUCCAGCCUAUUUCCC
rnacentral:rRNA from 1 species